CACCAUUUAGAUGAUCUUAACCAUGCGGGCCCAUACUUAGUCAAUGCUGAUCAUCAAUAUUUCAACAUGGAGCCUACUGUGAGAUGAUCUUAACUAGGUGGGGCCAAUCGUGAGUCAACCUAAACACUUGUAUUUCCACAUGGGCCCAUAGUUAGCGAUCUUAACCAUAUGUGGCCCAUGCCCAUGUUUAUUUCCCAUUUUGGGCCCAUCAUUGGAUGAUCUUAGCCAUAUGUAACCCAUAGUUAGUCGAUCAUAACCAUGUGUAUUUCCAUGUUUGGCCCAUCAUUAGAUGAUCCUAACAAUGUGGGGCACAUCGUUAGUCGAUCCUAACCUUGUGUAUUUCCACAUGGGCCCAUCGUUAGUUGACCUAGGCAUGUGUAUUUCUGCAUGGGCCCAUUGUUAUACCAUCUUAACCAUGUGGGGCCAAUGCAAGUCUAUUUGAACUACGUCUAUUUCCAUGUAGGGCCAUCAUUUGAUCCCAACCAUGCACAUUUCCAUGGUGGCCCAUCAUUGGAUGAUCUUUGCUAUGUGGUGGUCCACCAUUAGUCAAUCCUAACAAGUAAGCACAUGUGUGAUGGUAAAAGAUGGGUCAUUGAUCGAGAUAUUUAUUGAUGUGUAUACCAACUACCAAGAAUUUUCUGUGGAAAUAUAAGGCGGCUUCCAAACAAAAAAAGGAAAAAAAUGAAAGGAAAAUUAGACCAAUUUCCUUGAGAAAAUUGGUGAGAAAACAAACACUUAAAAGUAAUGGAAAUCAGUUUUCCUCUUUCUGCAAUGAACCCAAACAGGUUCUUAAGAGAAAAGAUCUCACUUUGAGACACUUGCCCGCCCACCUACGCCCCCAUAAGAAAAGAGAGAGAGAGAGA